GAGCCUUGAUGUGUAGGAUAGGUGGGAGGCUUUGAAGCGUGGACGCCAGUCUGCGUGGAGCCGACCUUGAAAUACCACCCUUUAAUGUUUGAUGUUCUAACGUGGACCCGUGAUCCGGGUUGCGGACAGUGUCUGGUGGGUAGUUUGACUGGGGCGGUCUCCUCCUAAAGAGUAACGGAGGAGCACGAAGGUUGGCUAAUCCUGGUCGGACAUCAGGAGGUUAGUGCAAUGGCAUAAGCCAGCUUGACUGCGAGCGUGACGGCGCGAGCAGGUGCGAAAGCAGGUCAUAGUGAUCCGGUGGUUCUGAAUGGAAGGGCCAUCGCUCAACGGAUAAAAGGUACUCCGGGGAUAACAGGCUGAUACCGCCCAAGAGUUCAUAUCGACGGCGGUGUUUGGCACCUCGAUGUCGGCUCAUCACAUCCUGGGGCUGAAGUAGGUCCCAAGGGUAUGGCUGUUCGCCAUUUAAAGUGGUACGCGAGCUGGGUUUAGAACGUCGUGAGACAGUUCGGUCCCUAUCUGCCGUGGGCGCUGGAGAACUGAGGGGGGCUGCUCCUAGUACGAGAGGACCGGAGUGGACGCAUCACUGGUGUUCGGGUUGUCAUGCCAAUGGCACUGCCCGGUAGCUAAAUGCGGAAGAGAUAAGUGCUGAAAGCAUCUAAGCACGAAACUUGCCCCGA
rnacentral:rRNA from 1 species